GCCAAGGGGCUCUCUUGGGGAUUUGGCCAUUUACAGGGCAUCAGAAUUAUUGAUGUGAGUGUUUUGUUAAGUCUCCCUCCAUGACAACAAGAAAAAUGGAUGAGAACAGAUAUGGAGCAAAUGCACCGACUGGCAAGGCCUGCCGGUGAUCUCUGGGGUCCGCGGAUGAAGGAAGGAUAUGGAAAGUCAUUUAGUGAUCUUGUUUUCUACAAGGAAAAUGCUGAGUGCAGGGAGGCUGUUACUGCUGCAAUCUGGCUGCUGCUGCUGCCUUUGAUGUAAAGCCUUGGUGUUUUCCCUAUCCAGCAAGUUGAGUGGGAUUUGUCUACAUGGGUGAAUGGCAAAAGCCUCUUUCAGCAACAGAAUCUAUGAGAGUUCCUUGCUCCCAUGCCCAGGUGGAUUCUUUACCGCUGAGCCACCGGGGAAGCCCAGCUGGUAGAAGAGCUUAUUCACUCGACACUUGGCAAUUAAAGCAAGGGAGAUGCCCUGGAUGCCUGCCAGGCUGUUCUGUUCCCCACUCCUGAUGGAAGCAGCUGUGCCCCCUGCACUGGGAUCCCUUCUUUUUCUUUCCCACUUCACCCUUCCCUCCAAUACAUUCCUAACCCAUCC